rnacentral:rRNA from 1 species
UAAGGAAUAUUGGUCAAUGGACGCAAGUCUGAACCAGCCAUGCCGCGUGGAGGAUGAAGGUCCUCUGGAUUGUAAACUUCUUUUAUCGGAGAAGAAACCCUUGCAUUCUUGCGAGGUUGACGGUACCCGAUGAAUAAGCACCGGCUAACUCCGUGCCAGCAGCCGCGGUAAUACGGAGGGUGCAAGCGUUAUCCGGAUUCACUGGGUUUAAAGGGUGCGUAGGUGGGAUGGUAAGUCAGUGGUGAAAUCUCCGGGCUUAACUCGGAAACUGCCGUUGAUACUAUCAUUCUUGAAUAUUGUGGAGGUAAGCGGAAUAUGUCAUGUAGCGGUGAAAUGCUUAGAUAUGACAUAGAACACCGAUAGCGAAGGCAGCUUGCUACACAAUUAUUGACACUGAGGCACGAAAGCGUGGGGAUCAAACAGG